GGCUGGAUAGUUCAGGUAAAUUUCGACCUUCCCAAUUGACUCGCCCCCAAACUAACAGGAUUGAAGUGGUAGAAUUCUUGCUUUGGGUACUCCUAGAGAUGAUUCUGAUUGUAAGAGGUCCUGGGUUCAAAUCCCAGUUCAGCCC